rfam:Niastella yeongjuensis strain 17621 contig10, whole genome shotgun sequence.
ACAGGCCUAGCCGAAAACCUGUAACAGAGUAGGCA